rnacentral:rRNA from 1 species
GAUGAACGCUGACAGAAUGCUUAACACAUGCCAGUCUUUGGCGAAGCUGUGCUUGCACAGCCUAGCCAAGGCGGACGGGUGAGUAACGCGUAAGGAACUUGCCCUGCAGUCAGGGAUAACAGACGGAAACGACUGAUAAGACCUGGUAAAGUCAGGCGGACUCAUGUCCAGCCUGAUGAAAAGAGAUGCUGCAGGAGAGCCUUGCGUCCUAUUAGCUUGUUGGUGGGGUAACGGCCCACCAAGGCGAUGAUAGGUAGCCGGCCUGAGAGGGUGGACGGCCACAAGGGGACUGAGAGACGGCCCUUACUCCUACGGGAGGCAGCAGUGGGGAAUAUUGGACAAUGGGGGCAACCCUGAUCCAGCGAUGCUGUGUGCACGAUGAAGGUUUUCGGAUUGUAAAGUGCUUUCAGCAGGGAAGAAAAAAUGACGGUACCUGCAGAAGAAGCGACGGCUAACUACGUG